AUGGUCCACCCAUAUAGGUCACAUGCCAUGACUGGAGCUUGCAGGACUGGAAGUUGCUCUGGGUGAGUCAGUAAGUGAGCGGUGAGUGAAUGUGAAGGUCUAGGACAUUGCUGUGCACUACCGUAGACUUUAUUUAUAAACUAGAUAUUUAGGCUACACUAAAUUAAUAAAAAUAAUUUCUUCAAUAAUAAAUUAACCUUACUGUAACUUUUCAACUUUAUACACUAUUUUUUAAAAUUUUUUGACUUUUGUAAUAACAUUUAACUAGAAACACAAACACAUUUUACAGCUAUACGAAAAUAUCUUUUUUUCCUUAUAUCGUUUUCUAUAAUCUUUUCCCUAUUUUUGAAUUUUUUCGUUUUAGUUUUUAAACUUAAGAAAAAUCCUACAAGAUAAGUACUUGGAAAAUUCAUGUCAUGUAUCCAAAACUUCCCAGCAUAUUAUAAGGACCACUCAUUGUUAGGGACAACUUAAUUAACAGCUAGAAGGAGAAGCUCCUGUCAAAACAGACCGAAAAGGGAGUGGAAAUGUUGAGGUAUUGUUUUCACCCUCAAUCACACAAAAGAAUUUCCUUCAUUGGCUUGCCAAGAUAUACAAUUCUAUUAAGUCAAGAAUCAUUCUUGUCAGGAUCAUCAAAAUACUACCUAUAGUAUACAUUGUCAGGAUCAUCAAGUAGGCCUAUACAUUGUCAGGAUCAUCAAGAUACUACCAGAUGAUAGGAAUUUUUUUAUCUCGAUAUAAUCUUACAGGGUUACAGUCAUAUAUGUAGUCUGUUGUUGACUAAAAUGUUACUAUGCAGGGCAUGAUGGCAUUGCUAAUGUAGGGAAGAAAGGACACACACACACAAACAAAAAAACAGAUGUCUUCAUGACCAAACGCAGUCAAAACAGUAGAAUCAAUGGAAACACAGCCUCACUUUCCCCUUCCAGACCUGAAGUGAGCACAUUUUUUAGCUGAACCUAAAUCGCCUACAGCACCCUAACUGCAAGGAAGCCUAGAAAAUAACAUUUUUUGGUUUUUCACCCUCUGCAGUUCAAGAAGGAACAACAGAAAGAGAGAAGUGGAGGUUGAACACCAGGCUACCUUUAAUUUACUUAUGGGGUUUGGAAGUUCUCACUCCAAUCCUCACAUCAAGAAAAAGCUUCCAAAAUGGAAUAACAAGAAUUCUCCAUAAAUGUUCUAGAAACUACAAGGUCUACUGCAUGUCAAAAGAUGAAAAGACAGGAGAUACGGAGAGUCAUAGCUUACCAGGACGAGAGACAUCAUUGGAGCCAGAAGCUGCAAAGGGCACUUAAAUGGCAACUGGAAAACUGCAAGAGGCUGCAACAAAGACUAGCUUGGGAAUUAACCAUUCCUGGGGGAGGGAGGGGCACAGCACUCUUGGGACCAAGCUCUCAUGGUAAAGAUGACAGAAAAAUCCUCUUAUGCUUCCAGCAGGGCACAGAGGAAAAGCAACCAUUUUGAAAUAGCACCAGAGCAUCCUAUUCUCAGAGGCAGGAGUUUGCCCUCAGGGAAAAUACUUUGCUGGAACCUUACUUGCCUAGGGGGAGUGCAGUUGGAAAGGACGCCUCAAGCACUCUCUGGCCUUGGCCUUUCUAUUUUACGUAAGGGGAUAAAAAGACUAGGAAAUGUCUCUGAAGAUCACAAUCCAGGGACUCAGGCACACUAAAAAAAACAGACAUUUAAUGAUGAGAUUAUAGAAUCCUUCUAAACCCUUCCAGCAUCUUACCAUCAUAUCAACAGAACUCCAAUAAAAUAACUGUGGAUUACAAAUGAGAGAGCUGAAAGACACAAACUCAACUUAAGAUACAAUUUUUAGGGAAACCCAAAGGCAACAGAGGAGAUCAAAAUAGGGAAACUAAAGGAAAUGGACGCCUAUAGGAAAUGGAGGUCUAUAGCUACAGCAAACAUUAAACACAGCCUAACUCCUACCUAGAUAAACAUAAAAUCUCACACUAAUGACCUUUUAACCUGAGCUCCUAUUACUGUAUCCAUCAUUUCCAGCUUUCAACAUAAGAUUUCAAUGCAUGAGAAAAGGUAAGGGGGAAAAAUUGUGAAGACACAAAGCAAAUAUCAAAACCAAACUUAUAGCUAGAAGAGAUUUUAGAAUUAUCAGACCAGAAAUAUAACUAUCAUUAAUAUGCUAAGGACUCUAAUAAAAAGAAGUGGGCAUCAUGUAAGAACAGAUGUGUAGUGCAAGCAGACGGUUGGAGACACUAAGAAGGAAUCAAAAGAAUGCUAGAUAUCAAAAACAAGAGAAUGCCUUUGACGGGCUCAUCAGUACACUUGACAAGGUCAGAGAAAGAAUCAGUGAGCUUAAAGAUAUGCCAGUGGAAAUUUCCCAAACUAAAGUGCAAAGAGAAAAAACAAAAAAUGAUGAACAGCAAUAAGAUAACACACAGAAUAUCCAAGAACUGUGGGACAAUUAUAACAUGCACAAUGAGAAUACCAGAAAGAGAAGAAUGAAAGAAAGGAGCAGAAGAAUUUUUGAAGUAAUAAUGGCUGAGAAUUUUCCAAAAUCAAUGACAGACACCAAAACAGGGCACUCAGGAUCUAGGAUGGUCAGAGAACACCAAGAAGGAUUCAUAGCAAAAAAUCUACAUCUAGAUGUAUUAUAUUUAAACUGAAGUAAGCCAAAGAGAAAAAGAAAAUAUCAAAAAAAGCCAGAGGUGGG